GGUGAUAUAGCCAAGAGGUAAGGAGAAGGUCUGCAAAACCUUUACACCACGGUUCGAUUCCGUGUAUAACCU
rfam:Rummeliibacillus stabekisii strain PP9, complete genome.